rnacentral:rRNA from 1 species
AGGCGACGAUCCGUAGCUGGUCUGAGAGGAUGAUCAGCCACAUCGGGACUGAGACACGGCCCGAACUCCUACGGGAGGCAGCAGUGGGGAAUAUUGGACAAUGGGGGGAACCCUGAUCCAGCCAUGCCGCGUGUGUGAAGAAGGCCCUCGGGUUGUAAAGCACUUUCAGUGAGGAAGAACGCCUGGUGGUUAAUACCCAUCAGGAAAGACAUCACUCACAGAAGAAGCACCGGCUAACUCCGUGCCAGCAGCCGCGGUAAUACGGAGGGUGCGAGCGUUAAUCGGAAUUACUGGGCGUAAAGCGCGCGUAGGUGGCUUGAUAAGCCGGUUGUGAAAGCCCCGGGCUCAACCUGGGAACGGCAUCCGGAACUGUCAAGCUAGAGUGCAGGAGAGGAAGGUAGAAUUCCCGGUGUAGCGGUGAAAUGCGUAGAGAUCGGNGAGGAAUACCAGUNGNGNCGAAGGCGGCCUUCUGGACUGACACUGACACUGAGGUGCGAAAGCGUGGGUAGCAAACAGGAUUAUAAUACCCUGGUAGUCCACGCCGUAAACGAUGUCGACCAGCCGUUGGGUGCCUAGCGCACUUUGUGGCGAAGUUAACGCGAUAAGUCGACCGCCUGGGGAGUACGGCCGCAAGGUUAAAACUCAAAUGAAUUGACGGGGGCCCGCACAAGCGGUGGAGCAUGUGGUUUAAUUCGAUGCAACGCGAAGAACCUUACCUACUCUUGACAUCCUGCGAAUUUGGUAGAGAUACCUUAGUGCCUUCGGGAACGCAGAGACAGGUGCUGCAUGGCUGUCGUCAGCUCGUGUUGUGAAAUGUUGGGUUAAGUCCCGUAACGAGCGCAACCCUUGUCCUUAUUUGCCAGCGCGUAAUGGCGGGAACUCUAAGGAGACUGCCGGUGACAAACCGGAGGAAGGUG